GACGUAGGGUGCGAGCGUUGUCCGGAUUUAUUGGGCGUAAAGAGCUCGUAGGCGGCUUGUCGCGUCGACCGUGAAAACUUGGGGCUCAACCCCAAGCCUGCGGUCGAUACGGGCAGGCUAGAGUUCGGUAGGGGAGACUGGAAUUCCUGGUGUAGCGGUGAAAUGCGCAGAUAUCAGGAGGAACACCGGUGGCGAAGGCGGGUCUCUGGGACGGUACUGACGCUGAGACGCGAAAGCGUGGGGAGCGAACAGG
rnacentral:rRNA from 1 species